UACGAAGGGUGCAAGCGUUAAUCGGAAUUACUGGGCGUAAAGGGCGCGUAGGCGGCUUGCUAAGUCUGUCGUGAAAUCCCCGGGCUCAACCUGGGAAUGGCGAUGGAUACUGGCGAGCUAGAGUGUGUCAGAGGAUGGUGGAAUUCCCGGUGUAGCGGUGAAAUGCGUAGAGAUCGGGAGGAACAUCAGUGGCGAAGGCGGCCAUCUGGGACAACACUGACGCUGAAGCACGAAAGCGUGGGGAGCAAACAGG
rnacentral:rRNA from 1 species